rnacentral:rRNA from 1 species
UGGGGAAUAUUAGGCAAUGGGGGAAACCCUGACCUAGCCAUGCCGCGUGCGUGAAGAAGGUCUUAGGAUUGUAAAGCGCUUUCAGCGGGGGAAGAUGAUGACGGUACCCGCAGAAGAAGCACCGGCUAACUCCGUGCCAGCAGCCGCGGUAAUACGGAGGGGGUUAGCGUUGUUCGGAAUUACUGGGCGUAAAGCGCACGUAGGCGGACCAGAAAGUUGGGGGUGAAAUCCCGGGGGCUCAACCCCGGAACUGCCUCCAAAACUAUUGGUCUAGAGUUCGAGAGAGGUGAGUGGAAUUCCAAGUGUAGAGGUGAAAUUCGUAGAUAUUUGGAGGAACACCAGUGGCGAAGGCGGCUCACUGGCUCGAUACUGACGCUGAGGUGCGAAAGUGUGGGGAGCAAACAGGAUUAGAUACCCUGGGUAGUCCACACCGUAAAACGAUGAAUGCCAGUCGUCGGGUAGCAUGCUAUUCGGUGACACACCUAACGGAUUAAGCAUUCCGCCUGGGGAGUACGGUCGCAAGAUUAAAA